UGUAGAGGUUCAUAGCUCAAUGUAUUAUAGCUUUCUAUGUUAAAUUACAGCAAAUUGCUUAACCGGACGAAAUGGACAGUUACCAAUGGUGGAAUCUGAGUGGAGUUCGCUGGUCCUGUGUAGUUUAUAGCUGAAAACUAAAACAAACAAGAACAUGUUGGCCGUGUUGAAAAGUACAAGGAACCAAUAAAAGUGACAAGAAUACAAAUGAAAGCUAAUAUAACUAAGCUUUAUCUGCUUUUGUAUGCUAGAUACUCAAGCCAUGUGGCAUAAGGAGUGCAUGCCUCUAACCACCGCUUUACAUGUCCAGCGAACUCCAUCUCUAACACUCGUCUUGCUAUGGCCCGAACUCGUCGAAAUAGCACGUUUCCUGAGCCUACCGUUAAAUGAUUUCGAUGACAAUUAAUCUGAACCUUGGUACUCAAGCAGUGCUUAGAUAACAGCUAAAAUUACACAAAAUCAACAAGAGUGUCCCCACGACACUAACCACCACUUUCCUUGCCUACUCCAACCAGCUCAUUUAAUGCACAUUUAUCUAUGCUUCUUUCAUAUACCUGACCAGAAUGGCAAUAGCUGCUACUAAACAAGAUCUAGAUAUUCGUUACAACUACAUCAUAAUUCUGAAAAAAACCCACGCUUAGUCGGUCUUCAAACAAAAAGACACUGUUUUUAUCGAAACGAAGUGAAAUAUAAAUUAUUGAAAUUAUACCAAA